CGCGGCCUAUCAGCUUGUUGGUGGGGUAAUGGCCUACCAAGGCGACGACGGGUAGCCGGCCUGAGAGGGUGUACGGCCACACUGGGACUGAGAUACGGCCCAGACUCCUACGGGAGGCAGCAGUGGGGAAUAUUGCACAAUGGGCGCAAGCCUGAUGCAGCGACGCCGCGUGGGGGAUGACGGCCUUCGGGUUGUAAACCUCUUUCAGUAGGGACGAAGCGCAAGUGACGGUACCUACAGAAGAAGCACCGGCCAACUACGUGCCAGCAGCCGCGGUAAUACGUAGGGUGCGAGCGUUGUCCGGAAUUACUGGGCGUAAAGAGCUCGUAGGUGGUUUGUCGCGUUGUCCGUGAAAUCCCACAACUCAAUUGUGGGCGUGUGGGCGAUACGGGCAGACUGGAGUACUGCAGGGGAGACUGGAAUUCCUGGUGUAGCGGUGGAAUGCGCAGAUAUCAGGAGGAACACCGGUGGCGAAGGCGGGUCUCUGGGCAGUAACUGACGCUGAGGAGCGAAAGCGUGGGGAGCGAACAGGAUUAGAUACCCUGGUAGUCCACGCCGUAAACGGUGGGUACUAGGCGUGGGUUUCCUUCCUUGGGAUCCGUGCCGUAGCUAACGCAUUAAGUACCCCGCCUGGGGAGUACGG
rnacentral:rRNA from 2 species